rnacentral:misc_RNA from 1 species
UUUAAAAAAGGAAAAAAAAAAAAAUCUAUAGUCAUGGGCAAGGUAGUAGUUUUUCUUGAAAUUUUGAGGCAGAGCCGAUGUAUACUUUGCAGCUUUUUCCCUUGAGUUUCUUGUACUUUCUUCUGAUAAUAUUAUUUGUCAAUUGUAUAUCCUGGCCAUUGAAAGAAAGGCCAAACUUGAUUGGUUGGGUAUCUUUAGAAGAUAAGAGACUACAUAGAAUGCUAAAAUAUGAAUUCUCAUAUUUGGCUAAUAUUGUUGGAAUUGGUAAAAGAAUGCCAUAAAUGAAUGUCUCAUGGUAGGAAUUUAAAAAAUAAAAUAAAUACAAAAUAACAAAAGAAAGAUGCCGUCUGGUUAAAGGAAGUGACAAAUGGCAUAAUUAGCUUGGCCAUAUUAGCAUAAUAACAAUGAAAAAGAAGUUGAAACAUGGAAAUGCAUUCAUA